rfam:Danio rerio chromosome 15, GRCz11 reference primary assembly.
CCUUCGAUAGCUCAGUUGGUAGAGCGGAGGACUGUAGGUGGCAUGCUGGCAAUCCUUAGGUCGCUGGUUCGACUCCGGCUCGAAGGA